UAUGUGAUCGUCUCUCGCAUAUCAAUAAGCGGAGGAAAAGAAACUAACAAGGAUUCCCCUAGUAACGGCGAGUGAAGCGGGAAGAGCUCAAAUUUGAAAUCUUAAAGGGUUUCCCUUUACGAAUUGUAGUUUAAAGAAGUGUUUUCUGUUGAGGUUUUGGUAAAAGUUCUUUGGAAUAGGACAUCAUAGAGGGUGAGAAUCCCGUAUUUGACCUUUACUUUCAACUUUGUGAUACACCUUCAAAGAGUCGGAUUGUUUGGGAAUGCAGUCCAAAAUGGGUGGUAAAUUUCAUCUAAAGCUAAAUAUUGGCGAGAGACCGAUAGCGAACAAGCACCGUGAGGGAAAGAUGAAAAGAACUUUGAAAAGAGAGUUAAACAGUACGUGAAAUUGUCAAAAGGGAAGCGUUUGACACCAGUGUUGUUUUUCUGAAAAUCAAUUAAAGAACUGUUUAUGCUAAGUUGUUUAGACUUUAUCAGCUAACUGUUUAGUUUUGAGCUUUUCUUUAAUGCACUUUUCAGUUAACAAGUCAACAUCAAUUUCUUUUGCUGUAAAAAAGCUUGAGGAAGGUGGCUUGAGAUUCGUCUUAAGUGUUUAUAGCCUCUUGCCUAUGCAGUCGGAGAGAUUGAGGUCUGCAGCGUAGAUCCUUCGGGGCUAAAUGCAUUUGUGCUAAGUUAUAGCAUUUUAUAGACAACUUGUUGACUAUGAUUUGUCUUGUAGCUUACUCGCUUAUGUUAUUUUACCUACGCUUAGGAUGUUGACACACGCGCGUGCUCG
rnacentral:rRNA from 1 species